rnacentral:rRNA from 1 species
UACGUAGGGGACGAGCGUUGUCCGGAAUUACUGGGCGUAAAGGGCGCGCAGGCUGUAGAUCAAGUCAGCUGUGAAAUGUCUGGGCUUAACCCGGGCAUGCGGUUGAAACUGAUGUACUGGAGUGCUGUAGAGGCAAGUGGAAUUCCCAGUGUAGCGGUGAGAUGCGUAGAUAUUGGGAAGAACACCGGUGGCGAAGGCGACUUGCUGGGCAGCAACUGACGCUGAGGCGCGAAAGCCAGGGGAGCAAACGGGAUUA